CAGCAGCCGCGGUAAUACGAAGGGGGCUAGCGUUGUUCGGAAUUACUGGGCGUAAAGCGCACGUAGGCGGCUCCGCAAGUCGGAUGUGAAAUCCCUCGGCUUAACCAAGGAAGUGCAUCCGAAACUGCAGAGCUUGAGUACUUAAGAGGAUCGCGGAAUUCCCGGUGUAGAGGUGAAAUUCGUAGAUAUUGGGAAGAACACCGGUGGCGAAGGCGACUCUCUGGUCUGUAACUGACGCUGAGGAGCGAAAGCGUGGGGAGCGAACGGGAUUAGAUACCCGCGUAGUCCCUGUCUCUUAUAC
rnacentral:rRNA from 1 species